UGGGGAAUAUUGCACAAUGGGCGCAAGCCUGAUGCAGCCAUGCCGCGUGUAUGAAGAAGGCCUUCGGGUUGUAAAGUACUUUCAGCGAGGAGGAAGGCAUUGUGGUUAAUAACCGCAGUGAUUGACGUUACUCGCAGAAGAAGCACCGGCUAACUCCGUGCCAGCAGCCGCGGUAAUACGGAGGGUGCAAGCGUUAAUCGGAAUUACUGGGCGUAAAGCGCACGCAGGCGGUCUGUCAAGUCGGAUGUGAAAUCCCCGGGCUCAACAUGGGAACUGCAUCCGAAACUGGCAGGCUAGAGUCUUGUAGAGGGGGGUAGAAUUCCAGGUGUAGCGGUGAAAUGCGUAGAGAUCUGGAGGAAUACCGGUGGCGAAGGCGGCCCCCUGGACAAAGACUGACGCUCAGGUGCGAAAGCGUGGGGAGCAAACA
rnacentral:rRNA from 1 species